rnacentral:rRNA from 1 species
GACGAACGCUGGCGGCGUGCUUAACACAUGCAAGUCGAACGACGUGGCGAACGGGUGAGUAACGCGUAAUCAACCUGCCCUUCAGCGGGGGACAACAGUUGGAAACGACUGCUAAUACCGCAUACUGACGGCGGGGAUUUCGUCUGAUUAGCUCGUUGGAGGGGUAACGGCCCACCAAGGCGCUGAUCAGUAGCCGGUCGGGGAGGAUGAACGGCCAAAUGGGGACUGAGACACGGCCCAGACUCCGACGGGAGGCAGCAGUGGGGAAGCUGCCGCAAUGGACGAAAGUCUGACGGAGCAACGCCGCGGGAGUGAUGACGGCCUUCGGGUUGUAAAGCUCUGUUAAUCGGGACGCGGUACCGGAAUAGAAAGCCACGGCUAACUACGUGCCAGCCGCCGCGGUAAUAC